GAACAACCAAAAUGGCAGCCUCCUUAGUACAACAUGUGGCAAAGAUUAGGUGAAUUUCAUUUUAAUUCUCUCGUGAAAUUAUAAGUAUUUAUUGAUAAACGAUUAAUCUCAUUACCUAUAGCAUGAGCCAAAAUAUACUGGAAUAAUAUAAGUAAAAUGUAAUAACUAAAUAAGAUAAAUUAGAGACCUACUUCAAAUUUCCAACAACUUUCUCAAUGGGGUAAGCUCUGUUUUGAAUAGAGAUGUUAAACAGUUUGGUAAGCAGUACCUGACAGAUGGAAAUGAUGACACCUGCUGGAAUUCUGACCAGGGUUCACCUCAGUGGAUAUCUGUGAUUUUUUCAAAACCUGUGAAAAUAGAAAAACUUCAACUUCAGUUCCAGGGUGGAUUCGUUGGAAAGGACUGCUGGAUUGAAGCAAGUGUAAACAAAGAUGAAAAACUUCAGAAAAUUCAGGACAUCUUUCUAGAAGACACAAAUAUGUUACAAACAUUCAACUUACAGCAGGUUGUAGAAACAAGUAAUAUGAAAAUUGUAUUUAAUACAAGCACAGAUUUGUUUGGUAGAGUUAUUGUUUAUAAACUUGAAAUAUUGGGUGAAAGUUAACAUUUUGUUAAUUGAAUAUUUUAAUAAAGAUUUACGUUUACCAUACAGUGUAAUGUGAAUACAUAGAAUACCUUUUAUUCAAUACAAAUUCUAUGCUCAGUUAGUCACUAGCUAUUGCUUUUUUCCGUUUUUGAUCACAAGAGUCAGUGA